UACAGAGGGGGCAAGCGUUAUUCGGAAUUAUUGGGCGUAAAGGGCGCGUAGGCGGCCAUUCAAGUGACGGGUGAAAGCCCUCGGCUUAACCGGGGAACUGCGUCUGAUACUGGAUGGCUUGAGUUUGGGAGAGGGAUGCGGAAUUCCAGGUGUAGCGGUGAAAUGCGUAGAUAUCUGGAGGAACACCGGUGGCGAAGGCGGCAUCCUGGACCAAUACUGACACUGAGGAGCGAAAGCCAGGGGAGCAAACGGG
rnacentral:rRNA from 1 species